AUUUUAGCGAGGGAGGAAGGAAUCCCAGAAAAUAUUCUCUCUCUCACACACGUUGAUUUUGAAAAUCCAAAAUCCAGACCUCAUCUCUCCUUUUCCUCCGUCUAAGUCUCCUCCCCUCUAUCCAUUCGAAGUCCAAAAGGCAACAAGAGAAAGUGGGAGAAACCAACGAAUUGGGGGAAAGGUCAAGUUUCUCUCAAUCUCUCACUCUCCAUGUUUUCUUGAUCUGACCAAUUGCACGAUGGCCAAAGGACGUACGAGAAGAACAACCAGAAGACAACGAUCCUAGAUUUCUCAACAUCAAAGUGUAUCCCGAUCUCGAUAUCCAUCUUACUGUUCCCAGGGGUAGAUGAUGAGUCAGUGGUCCUUUACUUGAAACGAGAAUCAUAGGUCACCAACACAUGAUCCGGAACAAUAUACGAGGCAACUUCUCUAUGUACAUAAACAGCCUUUCGAUUACCUUGAUACUGCUUAACACUAUAGUCACUGAACACAGUCAAAUAGCUGCAAAAGAAGGUGGACAAUUACUUGGAUAAUUUAAAAUGAUCUGUUCUUUGUUCUUUUAUGAAUCCACUUUUAAAUAAGGAUGGGCCCUACGAGAAGCCUAUUUUUUCAGCAGACAUUCACAGGAAAGUCAACUUUAGAUUUGUCAAAGGUGGUCAAUAAUCGCACGGGUUUUGUUACCAUGAGGUUGCAAGGGCCUUUAGGGGGGAAAUAAUCGUAUUGGUGUACUCUAUAGCUCAUUACGGAUCUAAAUGUAUUUUGAAUGGUGUUGUGCACAUUAAUGAUCUUCCUUUAGUCACUAUUAGUUUUUUAUAGUACUCCGUAAUUAAUGCUCAUUUCAUCUUUACUUUGUUGACAUAAAUCAUCCUUAUUUUGUUGUUUCUCUUGCCCCAUUUUCAGGUUUCAGAGAGGUGAACCCUAAUGGAAUACAAUAUAGUAGUAUUUUGUUAGUGUUUUGCAACUGUGUUAGAUUUGUGUAAAAUGAUCUUUUCUUUUAUCUCUAAUUUUGUUGUUUUUUAUUUAUGCCUUGAUAGCAGCAAGGGGUGAAUGAUAGUAGAAAAGUUAUUGAGAUUGAAUGUGAUUCAACAAUGCAAGGGCUGAAUAAAUUCUUCAGGUUGAGAUUGAAUUGGUU